GAUGAAGAACGUAGCGAAAUGCGAUAAGUAAUGUGAAUUGCAGAAUUCAGUGAAUCAUCGAAUCUUUGAACGCACAUUGCGCCCGCCAGUAUUCUGGCGGGCAUGUCUGUUCGAGCGUCAUUUCAACCAUCAAGCCCCCGGGCUUGUGUUGGGGACCUGCGGCUGCCGCAGGCCCUGAAAAGCAGUGGCGGGCUCGCUGUCACACCGAGCGUAGUAGCAUACAUCUCGCUCUGGGCGUGCUGCGGGUUCCGGCCGUUAAACCACCUUUUAACCCAAGGUUGACCUCGGAUCAGGUAGGAAGACCCGCUGAACUUAAGCAUAUCAAUAAGCGGAGGA
rnacentral:misc_RNA from 1 species